rnacentral:rRNA from 1 species
CCUACGGGAGGCAGCAGUGAGGAAUAUUGGUCAAUGGGCGGAAGCCUGAACCAGCCAAGUAGCGUGCAGGAUGACGGCCCUACGGGUUGUAAACUGCUUUUAUACGGGAAUAACGCGCCUUACGUGUAGGGCUUUUCAUGUACCGUAUUAAUAAGGACCGGCUAAUUACGUGCCAGCAGCCGCGGUAAUAUGGAAGGUCCGGGCGUUAUCCGGAUUUAUUUGGUUUAAAGGGAGCGUAGGCCGCAUGUCAAGCGUGCUGUGAAAUGUCCGGGCACAACCCGGGCCUUGCAGCGCGAAAUGGGGUGCUGGAGUACGCGGAAAGCAGGCGGAAUUCGUCGUGUAGCGGUGAAAUGCUUAGAUAUGACGAAGAACCCCGAUUGCGAAGGCAGCUUGCUGCAGCGGAACUGACGCUGAUGCUCGAAAGCGCGGGUAUCGAACAGGAUUAGAUACCCUUGUAGUC